UUAUCUAAAUGCUAAAAGAUAUGGACAAGGAGCUAAGGCUAUGCAAAAAAAGAUGGUAAUUCAGGAGCUGUGUUAACAAAAGUCGCACAGCAGACUUUACAAAGUGAAGGAGAAGUGACUGUGGAAAAUAAUGCAGGCGUGAAGGAAUUUAGUGAUCGAUUGGAUUCAGUUGCACAAUCUGGUAUGGUAAAGAAACUUACGAAAAUGUCUGCUAGUUUGAAGCCUACACAACUUUCUGUGGAUGGUAAGGAUGAUCGUGAUCAACAUGUACUAGAUAGAUGUUCUAUGGUUAUUGAUUUAUAAGAUGCACCACCUGCGGUAAUUCUAGUUGUCCAUGGAGGAGGUAUUGAAGAUGGAUAAUGGACCUCAUAAGCCUUCCAAAGAGUUUCCUGCUUCUAUU
rnacentral:lncRNA from 1 species